GAGUAUCAGAGUUGUUCUUACAUAGCACCAAGCCAAAACUCAGAGUUUUGAAGACAGAAAUUCAAUCCAUUCUGCUGGACUUCACCCCAUUAUGGCCAAUAGACUCUUUUGCUGGGUCUCCAUUUUUCUCUUUGGAGCAGCACCCACUGAAACAGGAAUCACUCAGACACCGAGAUACCAGGUCACAAAGGUGAAGCAGGAGGUGACGCUGACAUGUCAACAAAAUAUGGGGCAUCCUACCAUGUACUGGUACCAACAGGAACCACAGAAAGGAUUCAGGACAAUGUUUUCUUAUACUUAUAAGGAUAUGAAUUUAAAUGAGACUGUUCCUCCAAGAUUUGACCCUGUAUCAUCAGGGAAUGGUCACUUGACCCUCAAAAUCUAUCCUGUGGAAGCAGAAGACUCAGCCACCUACUUCUGUAGCAGCAGCAAAGACACAGCCUUGCAGAGUCAUCUCCCAGCUGUGCAGAAACCUCCUGUCCCCGGCAUAGGAAGAAAGGAGGGAGAACAGUCACCACAUCAGAGAUCUGGCUCACAAUGGGAAGUUCUGGAGGGAGGAGGAACUCUCAUAACCAUGUCAUAA